ensembl:lncRNA
AACAAUGGUUUACGAUUGAUUGAACAAUAGUUUACUGUUUAUUGAUUGAACAAUGGUUUACUGUUGAUUGAUUGAACAAUGGUUUACUGUUGAUUGAUUGAACAAUGGUUUACUGUUGAUUGAACAAUGGUUUACUGUUGAUUGAACAAUGGUUUACUGUUGAUUGAACAAUGGUUUACUGUUGAUUGAACAAUGGUUUACUGUUGAUUGAACAAUGGUUUACUGUUGAUUGAACAAUGGUUUACUGUUGAUUGAACAAUGGUUUACUGUUGAUUGAACAAUGGUUUACUGUUGAUGGAACAAUGGUUUACUGUUGAUUGAACAAUGGUUUACUGUUGAUGGAACAAUGGUUUACUGUUGAUUGAUUGAACAAUGGUUUACGAUUGAUUGAACAAUAGUUUACUGUUUAUUGAUUGAACAAUGGUUUACUGUUGAUUGAUUGAACAAUGGUUUACUGUUGAUUGAUUGAACAAUGGUUUACUGUUGAUUGAUUGAACAAUGGUUUACUGUUGAUGGGACUGCAACACCACAGUGCAGCAGCUUUGGGAGAAUAUGCACGUCCCACAUGUUACCCUUUUGCCUAUAUAGUGCACUACUUUAGACCAGACCCUAACACCCUAUUCCCUAUAUAGUGCACUACUUUAGACCAGAGCCCUAACACCCUAUUCCCUAUACAGUGCACUACUUUAGACCAGGGCCCUAUAGAACCCUAUUCCCUAUACAGUGCACUACUUUAGACCAGGCCCCUAUAGAACCCUAUUCCCUAUACAGUGCACUACUUUUGUGCCAUUUGGGAUACAGGCCAUAUCAUGUGCUGGCUGUCGGGUGAGUUGGUUUGUGUUGGAGGCUGUUGAGGCUAAAGGUUGUGGAGGCUGUUGAGGCUGGGGGCCAGCCUGGACCUGAUUGUGUGUGUUGUAUAUCCUGUAGUCUGUUCAUUGUCUUACGUCAGAGAGCACACCGAUUCCACCUGCAACCAUCGGAUGAGGGACGAGCCUCGCGUAGAAGUGACGCCACCUGACGUAAGACAAUGGUACAACUCUGACGCAGCUGACCAUAGGUCAGGGCCCGGUUAGUUACGGUGAGGCAGAGCAGACCAUAGGUCAGAGCCCGGUUAGUUACAGUAACUCAGAGCAGACCAUAGGUCAGGACCCGGUUAGUUACUGUAACUCAGAGCAGACCAUAGGUCAGGACCCGGUUAGUUACAGUAACUCAGAGCAGACCAUAGGUCAGGACCCGGUUAGUUAUGGUAAGGCAGAGCAGACCAUAGGUCAGGAUCCGGUUAGUUACGGUAACUCAGAGCAGACCAUAGGUCAGGAACCGGUUAGUUACGGUAACUCAGAGCAGACCAUAGGUCAGAGCCCGGUUAGUUACAGUAACUCAGAGCAGACCAUAGGUCAGAGCCCGGUUAGUUACGGUAACUCAGAGCAGACCAUAGGUCAGUACCCGGUUAGUUACGGUAACUCAGAGCAGACCAUAGGUCAGGACCCGGUUACUUACGGUAACUCAGAGAUGGCUCUCCAUUCACACUGUAUAGAGAUCUAGCAUGUCUGUCCUAAACAAUCAAUAAAGAUGUCUUACUAUCAAAACCA